UUUUCCCGAGGAGAAGAGCUAAUUAUAUAAGUGCUUUAGCCUUACUUAUUAAUAUUAAAUAUAUUAUACUAAUAUUUGUAAUUAGGGAUGAAAUAUCUUCAAUUCUUCAGAUAUCUGGUUCCUGAUAAAAUGCAUUUAGUGCAGAAGAAAAUUUGAACUAAGAGAUAUUAAGGUCUUUUAUGAAUUUAUAGAUAAUUUUUUAGCUACCACCUGCGGAGUAACAUCCUUUAGGUUCAGGGCAAAUAAAUUUUUAUUUUAUUUUUAAAAUCGUUUAGUCAGGGUUUAUUAGAAAUUGACCUAAGAAUAUAUUCUGUUUAAAUUAGUACUAUAAGAAAUCUUUUUAAAGGAACUCGGCAAAUCUUCUCCUCGACUGUUUAGCAAAAACAUAGCCUGUUGUUAUUAAUAGUAGGUUUCCUCUGCCCAAUGUAAAGUAUAAACGGCCGCAGUACCCUGACUGUGCUAAGGUAGCAUAAUAAAUUGGCCUUUAAUUGGGGUCUUGAAUCAACGAGGUUACGGGGAGUGACUGUCUUUAUAGAGGUUAAUGGAAUUUCCUAUAUGAGGUGAAAAUUCCUCUAAGUAUUCAUAUUAGACAAGAAGACCCUUAGAGCUUUAAAUAAGUAAGUUUCCAGAGUAUUUAAAUAUAGCUUUUCUGUUGGGGCGACAAGGUAGCAUAUUUAAACCUACCUAGUUAGCUAAAGACCCGCCAGGCUUAUCAUGAAAGACAAAGCUACCUGAGGGAUAACAGCGUAAUAGAGUUAUCUGCUUGCGACCUCGAUGUUGGAUUAGGCACUAAGUCCUUUAGAAGAGCUCUUAGCCUGUUCUGUUCGAACAUUAUAGCCUACAUGAUCUGAGUUCAGACCGGCGUAGCCAGUCAGAUC
rnacentral:rRNA from 1 species